AUACGUAGGGAGCGAGCGUUGUCCGGAAUUACUGGGUGUAAAGGGAGCGUAGGCGGGAGUGCAAGUCAGAUGUGAAAUACAUGGGCUCAACCCAUGGGCUGCAUUUGAAACUGCAUUUCUUGAGUGAAGUAGAGGUAAGCGGAAUUCCUGGUGUAGCGGUGAAAUGCGUAGAUAUCCGGAGGAACACCGGUGGCGAAGGCGGCCUCCUGGCCUGCUCCUGACACUGAGACGCGAAAGCUAGGGGAGCGAACGGGAUUAGAAACCCCGGUAGUCCUAGCCAUAAACGAUGGAUGCUAGGUGUCGGUGGUAUUGACCCCAUCGGUGCCGAAGCCAACGCGUUAAGCAUCCCACCUGGGGACUACGGCCGCAAGGUUAAAACUCAAAGGAAUUGACGG
rnacentral:rRNA from 1 species